CCCGGCGGUGCCGGCAGUGCCCACACAUCCUCCCCUGCCGCCCACCCGAGGGUCACCUCCAGAUCCCGCCGACCUCCGGAGCUCAUGGACACACGAUGCAAAUGGAGGGCAGGGAGGGGAAGGAGAUGCCUGGAGUGCAGGCACGGCAGCGGGGCAGCUCAGCCUCUGCGACCGCAGCGGCAGUGGAAGGUGCCUCCAACCGAACUCGCAUCAUCCCCUACACAGACCUCAAUGACGGAGUAAGAAGAGCUGCUGCAAGUAGCUGUCAGCCCCAAAUACAAAACGCUGCUUCAAAGGACCACGUGAGAAUCCAGAGCUUACAGACCAAGCCAGGCAGCCGCUCGCCACGUUGCAGCUCGCUGGAACAGCCAGUGAUGAACCCGAAUUACACAAGCUGGGCGGCCCCAGCAAUGCAGACACCAAGCACACUGCAGACCCCGACCACAGCUGGCAACAGAUGCGGGGCAGCGGACACCUCCACCCAUGUAUUUGUUGUUCUUUCAAACAGAUGUUGUGUUGUGGUGCAGAGAGAAGGAAGCUGCGUGUCUUUCUGCUCAGCAGGCAGGAAUGGUGGCAAUGCCCCUCCUGUCCCCGCCACAUCUCAUGCCCUGUGCAGGACACCCGUCAGGAUACAGCUUGGAGCAAGAGCCUGACAAAGAGUGAAGAAGGGAUGGCGGGGAUUUCUGGAUCCCAUUCCCCCGGAUCUAACAGGGUUUGGUGCUACAAUUCCUUAAGCAGCUUUGGAAAUCUUGACAACAGCAAACGGAAACCAACAGUGCCGGAUGGACCUCCCUCUGCCGCCACAAUGCCACUGUGCAUUGCCGUAUCAAAGUCACUCAACGCCUUGUGAUGCACCAAACAAUAGCAGAGGGGUGCACGAGCACACACUGCAGCUGCUGGCUGGGCACGAGCUCGCUGCGCUCAGAACCAUACACGACGACCCUAACAGCCAGCAGCAGCGCUCACCCAAAUCAACCCCGUGAUUUACGGAGCUGCCCUCCCCUUCCUCCUGCUCCAGAUGUGCUGCCAGCUGCGGUGACACCGCUGCCGAGACUGAGCUUAAUAAAUCUGCCCGCAACGACGCGGCUGUGGCAGCCAGCGAGCAUCCCGCAGCCCUCCUCGCAGCUCCGCACACAACAAAGCAGGUCCUGCCGGGCUCCUGUGCUGCCCACAGCGGCACAGCUCACAGACCCGGCUCAUCCCGGUGCCCCACCAGGAGGACGAGAGCACAGCUGGGCACUGCCGGGAUGCACGAGUGCUGCUGGGGCUCCUGAGCCGGCCCCUGGUUGCCCACGAGCGCCGCCAUAGCCAAUGCAAUUAGUGGUGACAUCCCUACCUUGAUUCCCGUCAUGGUCUGCUGGAAGUCGCUUUGAGAGCCCGGGCUUCAAACCAGCUUCGCCAUCAUGUGAUGUGACAUCGUUGGGAAUUUACUGUGGAAACAAAAAAAACCCCACAAGUGUGAAAUGUGACUGUCGAUAAAGUAAUCCUCAGCAAUCAGACAAAAUUAAUUGUGUGAACAUCAUUGAUCAAACCUACUUAAUACAUCGGGUUUGUAGAAAGCUGGAAUGUAAUUUCAUUACCAAUCUGCUCCAUCCUAAUGAAAUUUCUAAUAACGCUCUAA
ensembl:lncRNA